AAGGCGAAAAGAACCCCGGCGAGGGGAGUGAAAAAGAACCUGAAACCGUGUACGUACAAGCAGUGGGAGCACGCUUAGGCGUGUGACUGCGUACCUUUUGUAUAAUGGGUCAGCGACUUAUAUUCUGUAGCAAGGUUAACCGAAUAGGGGAGCCGAAGGGAAACCGAGUCUUAACUGGGCGUUAAGUUGCAGGGUAUAGACCCGAAACCCGGUGAUCU
rnacentral:rRNA from 1 species